AACACAGAUCUGUGUAAAAAAAUUACACAGGUUGUUGAACAUGUUCUAGCUGUCAAAACUGUGUAAAUUUUCAACACAGAUCUGUGUAAAAAGUUACACAGAUUUUCGAUCAGCUUCCCUUUUAAAUCUGGGUAAAAAAGUGUUGGCAUUUUUUCAGCAGUCAGAGCAACCAGCAGUUAGCAAAGAUGGUGGGUAAUUUUUCUAAAAAAUAUUACAUGAAUUGCUUUUAUUAAACAAGUCAACUUUCCAGAUAGCGGACCUAUUGCACUGGAAUCGAUGCCGUAUCCAAGGAAUUGUUAGUUGGUCAAGAGUCGGCGGAUGAUGCGUUGAUUGAAUGAAUGAUGUCAAUGAAGCCAAAUUCCUGCGUCCGAAAGCCUAGAUGUGCAGGCCCUGAAGUGGAACGCUCUGCCAGGAACGGAUACAUCAUCGCUCCAAGAAAACUAGAUCACUUUCCGGGACCAAACUAGCUCCAACAUCGUCCAAUAUGAUAUCGACCGAAAGAUGUAAAAUAAUUCAGCGACAGACACUGUUGAACAUCAAUAAACAUCAAUCUUGUUUUAUUUUGAUUUAAUUAAAGUAUUUAAAA